rnacentral:rRNA from 1 species
GACGAACGCUGGCGGCGUGCCUAACACAUGCAAGUCGAACGGAAAGGCCCUGCUUUUGUGGGGUGCUCGAGUGGCGAACGGGUGAGUAACACGUGAGUAACCUGCCCUUGACUUUGGGAUAACUUCAGGAAACUGGGGCUAAUACCGGAUAGGAGCUCCUGCUGCAUGGUGGGGGUUGGAAAGUUUCGGCGGUUGGGGAUGGACUCGCGGCUUAUCAGCUUGUUGGUGGGGUAGUGGCUUACCAAGGCCUUGACGGGUAGCCGGCCUGAGAGGGUGACCGGCCACAUUGGGACUGAGAUACGGCCCAGACUCCUACGGGAGGCAGCAGUGGGGAAUAUUGCACAAUGGGCGGAAGCCUGAUGCAGCAACGCCGCGUGCGGGAUGACGGCCUUCGGGUUGUAAACCGCUUUCGCCUGUGACGAAGCGUGAGUGACGGUAAUGGGUAAAGAAGCACCGGCUAACUACG